rnacentral:rRNA from 1 species
GGCAGCACGGGGCAACCUGGUGGCGAGUGGCGAACGGGUGAGUAAUAUAUCGGAACGUACCCAAGAGUGGGGGAUAACGUAGCGAAAGUUACGCUAAUACCGCAUACGAUCUAAGGAUGAAAGUGGGGGAUCGCAAGACCUCAUGCUCCUGGAGCGGCCGAUAUCUGAUUAGCUAGUUGGUGAGGUAAAGGCUCACCAAGGCGACGAUCAGUAGCUGGUCUGAGAGGACGACCAGCCACACUGGAACUGAGACACGGUCCAGACUCCUACGGGAGGCAGCAGUGGGGAAUUUUGGACAAUGGGCGCAAGCCUGAUCCAGCAAUGCCGCGUGAGUGAAGAAGGCCUUCGGGUUGUAAAGCUCUUUUGUCAGGGAAGAAACGGUGAGGGCUAAUAUCCUUUGCUAAUGACGGUACCUGAAGAAUAAGCACCGGCUAACUACGUGCCAGCAGCCGCGGUAAUACGUAGGGUGCAAGCGUUAAUCGGAAUUACUGGGCGUAAAGCGUGCGCAGGCGGUUUCGUAAGUCUGUCGUGAAAUCCCCGGGCUCAACCUGGGAAUUGCGAUGGAGACUGCAAGGCUAGAAUCUGGCAGAGGGGGGUAGAAUUCCACGUGUAGCAGUGAAAUGCGUAGAGAUGUGGAGGAACACCGAUGGCGAAGGCAGCCCCCUGGGUCAAGAUUGACGCUCAUGCACGAAAGCGUGGGGAGCAAACAGGAUUAGAUACCCUGGUAGUCCACGCCCUAAACGAUGUCUACUAGUUGUCGGGUCUUAAUUGACUUGGUAACGCAGCUAACGCGUGAAGUAGACCGCCUGGGGAGUACGGUCGCAAGAUUAAAACUCAAAGGAAUUGAC